rnacentral:rRNA from 1 species
AUACGUAGGGGGCGAGCGUUGUCCGGAAUGAUUGGGCGUAAAGGGCGCGUAGGCGGCCCGGUAAGUCUGGAGUGAAAGUCCUGUUUUUAAGAUGGGAAUUGCUUUGGAUACUGUCGGGCUAGAGUGCAGGAGAGGUAAGUGGAAUUCCCAGUGUAGCGGUGAAAUGCGUAGAGAUUGGGAGGAACACCAGUGGCGAAGGCGACUUACUGGACUGUAACUGACGCUGAGGCGCGAAAGUGUGGGGAGCAAACAGGAUUAGAUACCCUGGUAGUCCACACUGUAAACGAUGAAUGCUAGGUGUAGGGGGUAUCGACCCCUUCUGUGCCGCAGUCAACACAAUAAGCAUUCCGCCUGGGGAGUACGGCCGCAAGGUUGAAACUCAAAGGAAUUGACGGGG